rnacentral:tRNA from 1 species
GUUUGGAUGGCCGAGUCUAGGCGGUAAAUUGUAAAUUUACUUACGGGAGCUAUCCCUCCAAUCA